rnacentral:lncRNA from 1 species
AUGCAGAGUGGAUUCAGCAGGUCUGAAAAAGGGCCUGAGUCUACCUUUCUAACAAGAUCCCAGCUGAAGCCAAUGCUGCUGCUCACAGACCACACUUUCUAUAGCAAACAUUAAACUCUGGUGGAGGCGGUAAUCAAGAGGACGUGACCACCGGUUAACCAGCGAGCUUGACCAGGGCAAUCAGAGACUCCUCCCUCUUCCUGUGUCCUUGGAAUGUGCCGGAAGGAUCUAGUCACUGGGAACCUAUUCUAGCCUGGAGUCCAUAGAAGACUCAGUUUGGUGACAGCCUAUGAGCAGAUGCCUUAUUUGCAAACACACUCCCGGGAAACAAAGAAUAAUGAGAAAAGAAGAAUGAGACCAGAAAAGAGGAAGAACAAAUAAAAGGAGUUGUGUUUCCGAGCUGUCCGCAGCUCUGUAACCACCAGAGCUGAUCAUUCAGUCCUGUGGGCAGCAUCCUGAGAAACUUUACAAACUAUUGUUUCUUUGAGCAGACCAUCUUGGGACAGCAAGGAAUUAUUGCUGUGGCUUUGCCAGCCAGAUUUCAGAAGCAAGGCAAGUGCGGGAACCUGAGAUGGCCUGGAAUGAAGACGCAUGAUAUCUGCAAGCGCAGGAACUGCUAAGGAAUGAUGAUGGCGCGCCGUGAGCCUCAUGCUCAAGAACAAGCCCUUCUCCAGGACUGGUAAAUUGCAUCUUAAAGGUCGCUAUGAAGCCAAGGAAGAAACACUGACUCUUCUUCCCCAAACACCUUCAACCUUCCUUCAUUCUAAGCCGGUGCCUUCACUUUAUAUGUUAUUUAGAAAAUAGAACCCAUC